UUGCAUUUGUCCAAGCAAAAGACCAGGCUCCCCAAAGACCGAUAUCCUAGCCUCUUGGAGAGAGAACACGGCAAAAAGAUGCAAGAAAAGAAGAGAAAAGCUUACAGCACCUGGUAUUCCCAGGCGGUCUCCCAUCCAAGUACUAACCAGGCCCGACCCUGCUUAGCUUCCGAGAUCGGACGAGAUCGGGCGUGUUCAGGGUGGUAUGGCCGUAAGCGAUGACACAGGCUCCAAAUGAGCUAUUUGAACAUGCUCCUGUGUGCUUCUCUCAAUUAGAAUCAGCAUUUCACUUUCAGUGAACAAUGCGGCGCUCAAGAAAACACCCGGAUACGCAGUCAAGCUUAGUUUUACAGCCUAUCUCUGCAGUCCAUCAUGCUCCACUCCUUUGCUCCACUUUAGGACAAGAUCUCAGUCCUCCCGCUCUUUGUGCUUUUUGACUUUUUCUUUCAUUUUAUGUUCAGCCUAAUCUCCAAGUGCACUUGCAUUUGUCCAAGCAAAAGACCAGGCUCCCCAAAGACCGAUAUCCUAGCCUCUUGGAGAGAGAACACGGCAAAAAGAUGCAAGAAAAGAAGAGAAAAGCUUACAGCACCUGGUAUUCCCAGGCGGUCUCCCAUCCAAGUACUAACCAGGCCCGACCCUGCUUAGCUUCCGAGAUCGGACGAGAUCGGGCGUGUUCAGGGUGGUAUGGCCGUAAGCGAUGACACAGGCUCCAAAUGAGCUAUUUGAACAUGCUCCUGUGUGCUUCUCUCAAUUAGAAUCAGCAUUUCACUUUCAGUGAACAAUGCGGCGCUCAAGAAAACACCCGGAUACGCAGUCAAGCUUAGUUUUACAGCCUAUCUCUGCAGUCCAUCAUGCUCCACUCCUUUGCUCCACUUUAGGACAAGAUCUCAGUCCUCCCGCUCUUUGUGCUUUUUGACUUUUCUUUCAUUUUAUGUUCAGCCUAAUCUCCAAGUGCACUUGCAUUUGUCCAAGCUAAAGACCAGGCUCCCCAAAGACCGAUAUCCUAGCCUCUUGGAGAGAGAACACGGCAAAAGAUGCAAGAAAAAAGAAAAGCUUACAGCACCUGGUAUUCCCAGGCGGUCUCCCAUCCAAGUACUAACCAGGCCCGACCCUGCUUAGCUUCCGAGAUCGGACGAGAUCGGGCGUGUUCAGGGUGGUAUGGCCGUAAGCGAUGACACAGGCUCCAAAUGAGCUAUUUGAACAUGCUCCUGUGUGCUUCUCUCAAUUAGAAUCAGCAUUUCACUUUCAGUGAACAAUGCGGCGCUCAAGAAAACACCCGGAUACGCAGUCAAGCUUAGUUUUACAGCCUAUCUCUGCAGUCCAUCAUGCUCCACUCCUUUGCUCCGCUUCAGGACAAGAUCUCAGUCCUCCCGCUCUUUGUGCUUUUUGACUUUUUCUUUCAUUUUAUCUUCAGCCUAAUCUCCAAGUGCAUUUGCAUUGGUCCAAGCAAAAGACCAGGCUCCCCAAAGACCCAUAUCCUAGCCUCUUGGAGAGAGAACACGGCAAAAGAUGCAAGAAAAGAAGAGAAAAGCUUACAGCACCUGGUAUUCCCAGGCGGUCUCCCAUCCAAGUACUAACCAGGCCCGACCCUGCUUAGCUUCCGAGAUCGGACGAGAUCGGGCGUGUUCAGGGUGGUAUGGCCGUAAGCGAUGACACAGGCUCCAAAUGAGCUAUUUGAACAUGCUCCUGUGUGCUUCUCUCAAUUAGAAUCAGCAUUUCACUUUCAGUGAACAAUGCGUCGCUCAAGAAAACACCCGGAUACGCAGUCAAGCUUAGUUUUACAGCCUAUCUCUGCAGUCCAUCAUGCUCCACUCCUUUGCUCCACUUUAGGACAAGAUCUCAGUCCUCCCGCUCUUUGUGCUUUUUGACUUUUUCUUUCAUUUUAUCUUCAGGCUAAUCUCCAAGUGCACUUGCAUUUGUCCAAGCAAAAGACCAGGCUCCCCAAAGACCGAUAUCCUAGCCUCUUGGAGAGAGAACACGGCAAAAGAUGCAAGAAAAGAAAGAAAAGCUUACAGCACCUGGUAUUCCCAGGCGGUCUCCCAUCCAAGUACUAACCAGGCCCGACCCUGCUUAGCUUCCGAGAUCGGACGAGAUCGGGCGUGUUCAGGGUGGUAUGGCCGUAAGCGAUGACACAGGCUCCAAAUGAGCUAUUUGAACAUGCUCCUGUGUGCUUCUCUCAAUUAGAAUCAGCAUUUCACUUUCAGUGAACAAUGCGGCGCUCAAGAAAACACCCGGAUACGCAGUCAAGCUUAGUUUUACAGCCUAUCUCUGCAGUCCAUCAUGCUCCACUCCUUUGCUCCACUUCAUGACAAGAUCUCAGUCCUCCCGCUCUUUGUGCUUUUUGACUUUUUCUUUCAUUUUAUCUUGAAGCCUAAUCUCCAAGUGUACUUGCAUUUGUCCAAGCAAAAGACCAGGCUCCCCAAAGACCCAUAUCCUAGCCUCUUGGAGAGAGAACACGGCACAAGAUACAAGAAAAAAAGAAAAGCUUACAGCACCUGGUAUUCCCAGGCGGUCUCCCAUCCAAGUACUAACCAGGCCCGACCCUGCUUAGCUUCCGAGAUCGGACGAGAUCGGGCGUGUUCAGGGUGGUAUGGCCGUAAGCGAUGACACAGGCUCCAAAUGAGCUAUUUGAACAUGCUCCUGUGUGCUUCUCUCAAUUAGAAUCAGCAUUUCACUUUCAGUGAACAAUGCGUCGCUCAAGAAAACACCCGGAUACGCAGUCAAGCUUAGUUUUACAGCCUAUCUCUGCAGUCCAUCAUGCUCCACUCCUUUGCUCCGCUUCAUGACAAGAUCUCAGUCCUCCCGCUCUUUGUGCUUUUUGACUUUUUCUUUCAUUUUAUGUUGAAGGCUAAUCUCCAAGUGUAUUUGCAUUGGUCCAAGCUAAAGACCAGGCUCCCCAAAGACCCAUAUCCUAGCCUCUUGGAGAGAGAACACGGCACAAGAUGCAAGAAAAGAAGAGAAAAGCUUACAGCACCUGGUAUUCCCAGGCGGUCUCCCAUCCAAGUACUAACCAGGCCCGACCCUGCUUAGCUUCCGAGAUCGGACGAGAUCGGGCGUGUUCAGGGUGGUAUGGCCGUAAGCGAUGACACAGGCUCCAAAUGAGCUAUUUGAACGUGCUCCUGUGUGGUUCUCUCAAUUAGAAUCAGCAUUUCACUUUCAAUGAACAAUGCGUCGCUCAAGAAAACACCCGGAUACGCAGUCAAGCUUAGUUUUACAGCCUAUCUCUGCAGUCCAUCAUGCUCCACUCCUUUGCUCCACUUCAUGACAAGAUCUCAGUCCUCCCGCUCUUUGUGCUUUUUGACUUUUUCUUUCAUUUAUCUUGAAGCCUCAUCUCCAAGUGCAUUUGCAUUGGUCCAAGCUAAAGACCAGGCUCCCCAAAGACCCAUAUCCUAGCCUCUUGGAGAGAGAACACGGCACAAGAUGCAAGAAAAGAAGAGAAAAGCUUACAGCACCUGGUAUUCCCAGGCGGUCUCCCAUCCAAGUACUAACCAGGCCCGACCCUGCUUAGCUUCCGAGAUCGGACGAGAUCGGGCGUGUUCAGGGUGGUAUGGCCGUAAGCGAUGACACAGGCUCCAAAUGAGCUAUUUGAACGUGCUCCUGUGUGGCUUCUCUCAAUUAGAAUCAGCAUUUCACUUUCAGUGAACAAUGCGUCGCUCAAGAAAACACCCGGAUACGCAGUCAAGCUUAGUUUUACAGCCUAUCUCUGCAGUCCAUCAUGCUCCACUCCUUUGCUCCACUUCAGGACAAGAUCUCAGUCCUCCCGCUCUUUGUGCUUUUUGACUUUUUCUUUCAUUUAUCUUGAAGGCUCAUCUCCAAGUGUAUUUGCAUUGGUCCAAGCAAAAGACCAGGCUCCCCAAAGACCCAUAUCCUAGCCUCUUGGAGAGAGAACACGGCACAAGAUGCAAGAAAAGAAAAAGCUUACAGCACCUGGUAUUCCCAGGCGGUCUCCCAUCCAAGUACUAACCAGGCCCGACCCUGCUUAGCUUCCGAGAUCGGACGAGAUCGGGCGUGUUCAGGGUGGUAUGGCCGUAAGCGAUGACACAGGCUCCAAAUGAGCUAUUUGAACAUGCUCCUGUGUGGUUCUCUCAAUUAGAAUCAGCAUUUCACUUUCAGUGAACAAUGCGGCGCUCAAGAAAACACCCGGAUACGCAGUCAAGCUUAGUUUUACAGCCUAUCUCUGCAGUCCAUCAUGCUCCACUCCUUUGCUCCGCUUCAUGACAAGAUCUCAGUCCUCCCGCUCUUUGUGCUUUUUGACUUUUUCUUUCAUUUAUCUUGAAGCCUAAUCUCCAAGUGUAUUUGCAUUGGUCCAAGCUAAAGACCAGGCUCCCCAAAGACCCA